CACGUAGGGGGCAAGCGUUGUCCGGAAUCAUUGGGCGUAAAGAGCUCGUAGGCGGCUCAGUAAGUCGGGUGUGAAACCUCCAGGCUCAACCUGGAGACGCCACCCGAUACUGCUGUGGCUAGAGUCCAGUAGGGGAGUGUGGAAUUCCCGGUGUAGCGGUGAAAUGCGCAGAUAUCAGGAGGAACACCGGUGGCGAAGGCGGGUCUCUGGGCCGUAACUGACGCUGAGGAGCGAAAGCGUGGGGAGCGAACAGG
rnacentral:rRNA from 1 species